CGUGUAGGCGGCUCAUCAAGUCUGGUGUGAAAACGCAAGGCUCAACCUUGUGGGUGCACUGGAAACUGGUGGGCUGGAGUUCUUGAGGGGAAGCUGGAAUUCCAGGUGUAGGGGUGAAAUCUGUAGAUAUCUGGAAGAACACCGGUGGCGAAGGCGAGCUUCUAUCAGAGGACUGACGCUGAGGCGCGAAAGCGUGGGGAGCAAACAGGAUUAGAUACCCUGGUAGUCCACGCUGUAAACGAUGUGCACUAGGCGUGGGGCCCGUACGGGUUCUGUGCCGUAGUUAACGUGAUAAGUGCACCGCCUGGGGAGUAUGCUCGCAAGGGUGAA
rnacentral:rRNA from 1 species